rnacentral:tRNA from 2 species
AAGAAAUUAGUUAAUAUAUAACAUUAGCUUGUCAAACUAAAAUAACUUCAGUAUCUCUUG